CCUCUCUUAGCACUAAAUACCAUAAUUUCCAACUUAGAAAUGAGUUACAUGUGCCUAGUAUUGCUGCUAAUCUACUCUCAAUUCACAAAUUAUGCUUGUGUAACAAUUGUCAUUUGGAUGCUAUAAUUUCUAGUGUCAGGAUAUUCUGUCUGGAAAAUAUCCUACGAGGGUUUGAGUGAAAAUGGACUCUAUCCAAUCUACUCAAAACCCUAAGCAUCAACUGCAUCUUCAUCACCUUCACCUCUCAAUACAUGUCCUGGUUCAUCUACCCAAUCAAAGAAUCAAAAUCUGCAACUUUGUGUAAAUUAUGUAAAUAGGUUUCUUUCCAAAAAGUGGAUGCCAUGGCAUCACAGACUAAAACACCCUAGUGAUUAAUUUCUUGCUCUAGCAGUUCCUUUUCUUUAAAAUCAUGUACUGCAAACAACUCUGAUGUGCAUUGUAUGCACUACCUUUGCUAAAUCUGUUUUUUCAGUCUUCUAAACCUUUAGAAUUAAUCCACACUGAUGUACGUGGUCCAGCUCCAAUACAUUUAUCAAUAGUUUUAAAUACUAUCUUGUACUUGUUGAUAAUUUCACCAAGUUUACUUGAAUUUUCUUGUUGAAAUUGAAAUCUGAUUUCCUAUUUACUUUCAAACAUUUUACAGGCACCAUUGAAAAUCUUCUUGAUUAUAUAAUCAAAAUUCUUAGAUCUGAAUUGUGGGGGUGAAUUCACUUCUAAUGCCUUUAAUGAUUUUUUCUCUAAUCAUUGUAUUACUCACCAAUUAUCUUGCCCUCACAAACCCCAACGAAAUGGAGUGGCUGAAAGGAAACAUAGGCAUCUUGUUGUGUGUGCUUUGACCAUGCUUUCUCACUCAAAAUUACCUACCACUUAUUGUUCAUAUGCUAUUUCUACUGUUGUGCAUCUCAUAAACAGACUACCCACUCCUUUACUCCAUAAUCUUUUACCUUGGGAGCUCCUCUUUAAGGCCAAACCAGAUUUAUUACACUUGAGAGUUUUUAGGUGUACUUGUUUUCCUCUUCUUAAGCCUUAUAAUACCCACAAAUUUCAACCUCACACUUCUCCUUGUGUAUUUUUAGGUUACCCUCCCUAAUCAAAAGGUUACAGAUGUCUUGAACCUCACUCUCACAGAAUUUAUGUUACCAGGCAUGUUUUGUUUAAUCAGCAUGAUUUUUCUGCAUUAACACAAGUUUCAACCUCACAAUCUAGUGCUCCUCCCUCAAAUUCUCCCUCACCUACUCUUUGGCUUACCUUUUUAUUGCACUCUUGUUCUCAAUCAAUUCUUCAGCCCUUUACUCAUUCUAAUUCCACUGCACAAUCCUCUUCUACUCUACCUGUACUGAAACCUUCACCUUUACCUUCAGUUCCACUAGUUUCUGCAGAAACUAGUUCCCAGCAUGCCUAUCCUUCUCCACCAGCCACUUCUACACCAGAUAUUUCCCAACCAGAACCUUCUCAUACUACAUCCUUAUCUGGCACAAACAAACGUCCUACGGUAACUUGAUUACUAUACCACAUAACCUCCCUCAUAUAAAAUUGCAGCCCAAUUCCCACACUGUUUUUAUGCACCUAUGAAUGAGGAAUAUGAUGCCCUUAUGACAUGGCCUAAGCAAUUAUCUUCUUGCAUUCACGCGUUUCAGCAUAUAUUCGCAUAAAAUUUUUUCAAACUUUCUUAAUAUGGGGGAUUGAUAAAAAAAAUAGAAUUGAUAAAAUUUGACAUAUGAUCAAAUUAACUGGCCAUUAGAGAGAUCCUCAUAUCAAUUUGCAGUUCUAAUCAUAAGAACUUAUAGCUUCAAAUAGCUUGGGAAACAAACAUAAAUACACAAAAUAGAUUUAGUGCAAUGCUUCAUCCUCUAGAACAUCUUUUAAUCUCUUGCAACUUCGAUAAGGCUUCUCCAUAGUAAAACGUUCUUUUGAUGAAUCAGCAGCAAAGACAGUCCAACUCUCACCAUAGAAGCCACACACUCUUCACCUAUGAAAGCAAUGUUGUUUUUGUUCUUGCUGCUUCUAUCUUCUCCAGAAGAAUAAUUAGUACUGCUGCUUUGUGAAAAAGAUUCAUUUUCCUUGAAAAGCCUUGGAUCAACAAUAUCCAAGAUUUUACUCACAUGCACUUCGGAGAUGAACCUGUUUAUGCUUAAACCUUCCUGGAAAAUUCCAUCUGUGGGCUUCUUGGCAAUGAUUAUCUCAAGCAGCAGUAUCCCAAAACUAUAGACAUCCCCACAGGCUGAAGCCUUUCCACCCAAGCCAUACUUGAUAACAGUAUUUCAGGAUAAUAGGAUCAAGUAUUUCCAACCAGAAAUGAUAAAAUCUUGAGGAAAUAAUGUAGAAACAUAGGGUGUUAAUUUUUAAAUUUUUUUUACUAAUUUGUUCUUUGGUGUCGAAUUUAGCAAGUGAGGUAGAGUAGAACAUUGUUUGAACUGUGAAUGUAAUCACUAAAUCUUUUUAAGUUUCAUAAAGUAAGAUCCACAACAUACCUGGAGCAAUAUAACCAAUUGAGCCUUUUAGUCCAAUUGUGCCACUCCCAUUCUGUGAUGAAUCAUGGGAGAGAAACCUUGCUAACCCAAAAUCUCCUACUUGAGCAGUCAUAUCUUCAUCUAAAAGCACAUUUCCAGGUUUCAAGUCGCAAUGGACUACAGGUGGGUCAAAAUCAUGAUGUAGUUGAUCUAAUGCAGAAGCUACAUCAAUGGCAAUAUUUAGUCUCUGGGUCAAGGUCAGAGUUGAUCCACACUCAACAUCCUCUGGGUACAACCACUUAUCCAAGUUACCAUUAGACAUGAAUUCCAUAGCUAAAGCCUUGAAUUCAGCUCCUGUGUGAUCAAUGCUGGAGCAAGAAGUGAAGUCCUUAACAAGGUUCCAAUGCCGGAUGUUUUUUAGAGCUUCACAUUCUGCAUCAAAACUCUUGGAAUCUUUGCUUUGUGUCAAGUCAAGAACCUUCACUGCAACUGUAGUGUGGAUUCCAUUUUCACCAGUACUGAAAACAGCUCUAUAAACAGACCCAAAAGCACCCCUCCUUAUCAAAAUUUUUGUGUCAAACUUUGUUGCAAUCUGGGUUUCAGAGUAAGAAAGCCUUGGUGGUAAACCCUUCAGUUCAGAUGAUGAACUUCAAUUUUUUAUUGACUCUCUUCUUUUGGGUGAUCACUGCACAUACUAAACACAAUGCACAUACAAGCACAAUGAAAGAAGAGGUUGGAAUAAUGACUUUGAGCACUAAAUCUGAAUUUGACUUUGUUUUUGUGACACAAGUAGUGACUCUUAGCUUUUCUGCAGUCUCAUGGUCAAAUGCACCGAGCUGAUUGUUUCCCUGGAGAGAAUCCCAACUGAUGUUGGCAAAGACACCAUUUUUUGGAAUAUUUCCGGAUAGCUGGUUUCCAGAAAUGUCCAUGAUGUCAAACUGUCUCAAAUGGCCAAAUUCGUUGGGCAGAGAACUGCUUAAAGAGUUAUUUGCCAACAGCAAAAAUUUUAGUUGGGAAGCUAAAAAAAUUUGCUUUGGAAUGCUUCCAUUGAGUGCUGUCCUUGCUAGAACAAGCAUCUCUGAUCGCUGGCAUGUUGCUAUACUCAUAGGAAUUCUACCAGAUAACCGAUUGUUUGUCAUGUCGAGCUCAUAUAACCGCGUAAAAUUGCUAAAGAUAUCCUGAAUUUCUCCAGAGAACAAGUUGUCAGUAACCGUAAGUCUUUCUAGUUUCUGAAGUUUUCCAAUGGAGUUUGGUAUUUUGCCUUUGAAAAAAAACUUUUCUCAGUUGAUAAGUACACAAGGUUUUGAUACUUUUCCAAUCUUUGAAUAAAUGUUGGAGAUUGACAGACAGAUUUGCAACAGAAGGGGGAAGUUCAUCAGCUAAUUGGUUAGAAUUCAGAUGGAUUUCACGUAGCAGGGUACAGUUUGUAUGGGAAUCAAAUACUUGGUAAUUGAGCUUUGUUGUAGAAGAUAAACUGUUCCCACCAACGAGUAACUGGACAAGGUGUUUCAAGUCACCAAGUAAAGGAAUAUGCCCAGUAAAAUUAUUUGAAGAGUUCAAUAUUUGAAGCAUUGGAUAAAGAACUUGGUAUUGGUCCUUCCAGAAGAUUGCAUUAGUUUAAAAGAAUUAAGUCAUAUUAAAAAUACAAAGUUAUUGGGUCUUCUCUUAUUUACUAAAAAUAAAAGUUAGCCCAUGUUUGGAUUUGAUCCAAAUGACGAAAGGUGGUCAUUUUUUCUUCGCAAAGAACAUGAAGUUUGGUAUCACUAUUCAACUUAGUCUUACUUGGGUUUAUUCAACUUAGUCUUACUUGGGCUGGUUCAGGUUGGGACUCAUUUUGAACUUCAAAAUUAGAAGCCCAACUAUAUUAAAGUCAAUUAACCAACACUUGAUUUAAGUUAAAAAGCCGAAGCCCAUCUUAGUUUUCUUUUUGCGUUAAAAAUCUAAAUCCUGUGUUUAUUGAACUUUUUUUUUUUAAAGAAAAAAAUAUUGAACCAUAAUUAAGAGCAAGCUAAAUUUAAUAAAGCUAAAAAUUUGGUGAAAUUAUUUGAUACUUUUUGGAAUAUUACACAUUUCUCUCAUUUCAAAGUGAACAUUACAUUUAAGUCUCGUUUAUAUAUAAGACUUACAUUUAUGUAAGAGUAGAGUGUUGUCUAUU